rnacentral:rRNA from 1 species
UACGAAGGGAGCUAGCGUUGUUCGGAAUUACUGGGCGUAAAGCGCGCGUAGGCGGACCUGCAAGUCGGGGGUGAAAGCCCGAGGCUCAACCUCGGAACUGCCUUCGAUACUGCGGGUCUCGAGUCCGGGAGAGGUGAGUGGAAUUCCCAGUGUAGAGGUGAAAUUCGUAGAUAUUAGGAAGAACACCAGUGGCGAAGGCGGCUCACUGGCCCGGUACUGACGCUGAGGCGCGAAAGCGUGGGGAGCAAACAGG